ACUCAGCCUGACUCUCUGGAGGUUCAUCCAGGUGGUUUUGUGAACCUGUCGUUUGUCCUUGUUCUUGCUGAGUAGUUAGCCUUCCACGGAGUAGAGGGACCACAGCUUUUUCUAGCCAUUCACCCAUCGAAGGACACUAGGGUUCUUUCCAGUUUGGGGCUACUAUGAAUACAACUAAUGGAAACAUUCGUGUGCAUGAAUUUAUGUGAAUAUGUUUUCCUUUCUCUGGGAUAAAUGCCCAGGAGUGCAAUUUGCUGGGUUGGAUGACAGCUGCAUGUUUUGUUUUAAAAGAAACUGGCAAACUGUUUCCAGAUGGCUGUACCAUUUUACAUUCAUCCCCACCAUCAACGCAGAGAUCCAGCUUCUCGGCACCCUCACCAGCAUUUGGUUCGGCCACUGUUCUUCACUUUAGCUCCUCUGACAGGAACUUCCAAUACAAUGUUGAGAAAAUUGUUCCCAGCUGUACGGGGAAAGCAUGCAGUCCUCACCACGAAGUGUAAUGUCAGCUGUAGGAGUUUUUUGUUUUCCUGGUUCCUGAUACGACAGCUAGUUUUCGAAGGACACGUGGACAUUUUUGCAUUGUUACGAAACUCUGGAUUUGUUGAAAAUCUGCUGUUCCGGCUGACUUCCUCCGGGUGCUCCAACAGGGAGGGAAGUAAGGGCACCGCCUCUUUACUGCCAGGCAGGGCUAGAGGGCAGGUUCCCCAACGGUGACACCCGAGACUCUCGACAUCUGGGGCAGAGGGUGAGAGGUCGGGGGGCUCCCUGUCUCUGCUGAGGGGGUCUCCACUGACGCCUCCCGGCCGGGGGGUCUGGGGCUCCUUGCUCUGCUCCCUGAGAGUCCCCACUGUCACUGUGGUGGUGGGGGGACCUCGCUCGUCCCCCCGGUGGUGGUGGAAGUCCUGGGUCCACUAAGCCUCCUCUGAGUCCCAGGGCAGGGGGACGUCCAGGCUCCCCACGUGGUCUCCCCACGUGGCCUCCCCACGUGGCCUCCACUGACCUCAGGUGUCAGCGCUGGCAUGGGACUCAUUACCACCGAAUGAGGCAGGGGGGCCUCAUGCAGCCUCUCAGGGUGGGAGCCUAGGUUCCCGCCGUCCUUGGGGCCUGGCGGGUAGAGGGGCACAGUUUUCCCGUGACGUCAGGCUGGGGCGGAGCAGGUAUCGUCCAGAAAUGGCCGUCCUUCCUCUCCUGGUCCUUUGGUGGAGAGAGCAGGCUUCGGUCAGGGCUUUCUGGGGUUUAUGCCCAGUGGCGCUUCCGGUUGCCGGUUCCUCCAGCGCCCAGCCUGGACCACUGUGUCCUUCUCGGGCCCUGGGAUCCCGGCUGCUCUCCUCCUUCUCAGAAUCUUCUCACUUUCUUCACAUGUAAAGUUCAGGGGCCCGUGUUUACCAAGAGGAAGGAUGAGGGGAAAGUCCGUCUGCUCCGUCUUCUGUGCGGUGGUCUUUCACGGGUUAAAUUUUAAAGUGACAUCAGAGCACAAGCAUCUCUUCUGACCCAGCGAGCUCUGGAUACACACCUCCCUCGGGCUCUGGGUGAAUUCAUUCAGAAAAACUCCUGAGACAACAAA